rnacentral:rRNA from 1 species
UACGGAGAGUGCAAGCGUUGUUCGGAAUCAUUGGGCGUAAAGCGCGCGCAGGCGGUCUGGCAGGUCGGGUGUGAAAUCCCGUGGCUUAACCACGGAACUGCGCUCGAAACCGCUGGACUUGAGUAUCGGAGGGAGAGGUAGAAUUCCUGGUGUAGGGGUGAAAUCCGUAGAUAUCAGGAGGAACACCGGUGGCGAAGGCGACUUCUUGGCCGAAUACUGACGCUGAGGCGCGAAAGCGUGGGGAGCAAACAGG